GACGAACGCUGGCGGCGUGCCUAAUACAUGCAAGUCGAACGCUUUUUCUUUCACCGGAGCUUGCUCCACCGAAAGAAAAAGAGUGGCGAACGGGUGAGUAACACGUGGGUAACCUGCCCAUCAGAAGGGGAUAACACUUGGAAACAGGUGCUAAUACCGUAUAACACUAUUUUCCGCAUGGAAGAAAGUUGAAAGGCGCUUUUGCGUCACUGAUGGAUGGACCCGCGGUGCAUUAGCUUGUUGGUGAGGUAACGGCUCACCAAGGCAACGAUGCAUAGCCGACCUGAGAGGGUGAUCGGCCACACUGGGACUGAGACACGGCCCAGACUCCUACGGGAGGCAGCAGUAGGGAAUCUUCGGCAAUGGACGAAAGUCUGACCGAGCAACGCCGCGUGAGUGAAGAAGGUUUUCGGAUCGUAAAACUCUGUUGUUAGAGAAGAACAAGGAUGAGAGUAAAACGUUCAUCCCUUGACGGAUCUAACCAG
rnacentral:rRNA from 1 species